UAAAUUAUCAUAAUAUUUAACUCGUUUGUUUCUUCAGCUUAUAAAAGAAUGUCUAUAAAUUCCAGAGCAAUUUAGUUACUUCCUUGCACUUCAUCGUGAUUGAACCGGUUCAUAAAAAAUGAAAAUGGUUAAAUUUUUCUGGUACGUUUUCUUUGGGCUAAUCUUUAAAAUAUUGAUGGUAAACACAGCCGCAGCCGAAUGCCUGAACUCUGGUAGCAAAUGCACUUCAGACGAUGAUUGUUGUGAGAAUUAUAAGUGUCAGCAUGUGUUCAUUGGUAUGUCGCUUAAAAAAUGCCGCCUGAUAUAAUUUCAUUAUUUACACAAUUUUUAAAAAUUAUUUUUGAUACAAUGUAAAUUCGGAAGCGAAUUUAAACUUUAUUUUGUUAUGAAUUCACUACUUCAUUCAAGGUUCUGGAGUUUUUUUUUAAAUUACUCCUAUUAGUAAAUAGAAUGAUUAUUUUCUUUAUCAGAGUGAUGUAAAUUUCAUUUUAAUUCUAAUAUACUUGAAAUAAAUUUUAUUACAAGAGAAUUAAAUAAAAAAAAUCA